rnacentral:rRNA from 1 species
GAGGAGCUUGCUCUGAUUUGAUUUUAUCUGACAAAGAGUGGCGAACGGGUGAGUAACACGUGGGUAACCUACCUCUUAGCAGGGGAUAACAUUUGGAAACAAGUGCUAAUACCGUAUAGUACCAACAACCGCAUGGUUGUUGGUUGAAAGAUGGUUCUGCUAUCACUAAGAGAUGGACCCGCGGUGCAUUAGCUAGUUGGUAAGGUAACGGCUUACCAAGGCAAUGAUGCAUAGCCAAGUUGAGAGACUGAUCGGCCACAAUGGGACUGAGACACGGCCCAUACUCCUACGGGAGGCAGCAGUAGGGAAUCUUCCACAAUGGGCGCAAGCCUGAUGGAGCAACGCCGCGUGUGUGAUGAAGGGUUUCGGCUCGUAAAACACUGUUAUAAGAAAAGAACGGCACUGAGAGUAACUGUUCAGUGUGUGACGGUAUCUUACCAGAAAGGAACGGCUAAAUACGUGCCAGCAGCCGCGGUAAUACGUAUGUUCCAAGCGUUAUCCGGAUUUAUUGGGCGUAAAGCGAGCGCAUACGGUUAUUUAAGUCUGAAGUGAAAGCCCUCAGCUCAACUGAGGAAUGGCUUUGGAAACUGGAUGACUUGAAUGCAAUAUAGGAGAGUGGAACUCCAUGUGUAGCGGUGAAAUGCGUACAUAUAUGGAAGAACACCAUUGGCGAACGCGGCUUUCUGGACUGUAACUGACGUUGAGGCUCGAAAGUGUGGGUAGCACACAGGAUUACAUACCCUGGUAGUCCACACCGUAAACGAUGAGUGCUAUAUGUUCUAGGGUUUCCGCCCUUGAGUGUCGCA